ACACUAUUUCAUGCACUUGAAAGAAAAUGUUCAUUCUUUCCAAGUAUUCACGGGAACACUCCCCCAUGAUAAAGGGCUCUAUGUCACCGAUUAACGACUUGUUUUUUUUCUUCUGAUUUCAGACUCGCCAUUUAUACGCAGGCCGAAUUUUCCUCGUUGCCAAAAGUGGUGUUCUUCAAAUGCACUCGCCAUUUAUACGCAGGCCGAAUUUUCCUCGUUGCCAAAAGUGGUGUUCUUCAAAUGCGUGAGUACACUUUGACCUCUCGUUUAUAUCUGUAUUUCGCUCUGAUAAUCUAUCUACGCAUACAUCUCCAUUUAAUACUAAUACAUCCACUACUAAUCGUAACACUUAUACUAUUAAAAACACUCUGCGUAAAUUUUAAGAUUUUGCAAAUUUUCUCUUGUUUUUGCAUUUGCAAUGAAACGAAAUGAUGCACUAACGGCUCCUGUUUCAGAUUUUAAAUGUUUUUAUAACAACAAAGCUUUUUCUAAAUAUUUUUCAUGUUCAAUGGUAUCCGCUUGUCACUAGAUCUUCCAUAAUUGUCGACACUACUAGAGACAUAAUUGUCGACAAAUGUUUUUGCGAUGGUAGCUGCUGACAUAUCUGCCAUUGGGUAACGCUCUGGCCAUCUUGUAAAUCUAUCCACUAUUGUGAGUAGGUAACACAUGUCUACCGGAGGACCAACGAUGUCUAGGUGGAUUUGGUCAAACCUGCCUUUCGGAAUAUCAAAAGUUUCCAAUGGCGAGUGAGUAUGGCGUGCUAUUUUGGCCUUUUGGUGUCCAUUCUCCCACGUCCUUGUUCAUGAAUGGCCAGAAAUAACGAUCGGUCAUAAGCUUUCUAGUAGCCCGAAUGCCAGGAUGUGAGUUAUUGUGGAUCCCUUGCAACCAUGUAAGUUCAUGGUGAAAUCUUGCACGUGUGGUAUAGGGUAUCGAUCGGGUGUGGUUAUUGCGUUCAGUCGUCGAUAAUCCCCACAUGGUCGCCAGUGGUAGUGUGAAACCGACCGGUGUGUUGUAGUCAGGGCGCUCUAUCAAUGAUGGGUAUUGUCUUAAAACCUCACCGAACUCAAUUGCUUCCAUAGAAAAAUGUUUUGGUGCGGGAGUGUCCACUGUCGCAAUAGUAGUCUUUGACACCAGAUUUGUAGUUGGAACAAUUAGGCGCCGCUCCUUAAGAUCAACUAACAAACCGUGUUUGUGAAUAAAGUCAGCUCCUAUCAUCAACGAUUCACAGCUGCUAUAACGAAAGUAUAAGAGAAAGACCGCCUCAAUCCAAGAGACACCUGUAUUAACUUGGUGCCAUACGUAGAAAUGGUACUAUCGUUGGCUGCAGCUAAUACGUGGUCAGUUGGUUUGGCUACAGUGCCUACUAAAUUUUGUAGAAUGACGGAUACGUCAGCUCCGGUAUCUAUAUGGAAUGUGAAUCUCAUCAUUGAUGAAGAGACGAGGUGAAGAGCUUAAAAUUGCUCGUGGGCUAUCCCUCAAUGCUUCGGAGCAAAUUUGUUGUUUUGAAGAGAUAAAUUGUUCCCACCCUGCGUUGAAUUAAAAUAGCAAGGAAUGAUAGACUUGUUCGCGUUCCGUCAUAGCGGGCGUUCUCCCUGUUGUGAGGGUGUGUUGCUCGUAUAUUGCGAUUCCCCUGCGCUGAUUAUUAGAAUUGACAGCCAUUUGGCGAAUCAUGUUUCGUAGCUCCGAUAUUUCUUAACGAAUAUCGUCAGUCGAGUAGUUUUGAGAAAAAUGCUUUGGUGCAUUCCAUUGCGGAAUCGCUACCUGUAUUGGUGCAUUCCCAGAGUGUAUUGUAUUGGAGUGCAUUAGCUAAGGUUUGUUUAGGAAGAGCGCCUAUUAGGUACGAGUAUCGGGUGCGCUCCCUUGUAAUUUGAGAUACCUCAAACUCAGCCUCCGCCUGAGCAAGCCACAUUUCAGGCAUAUCAUACCAGAAUGGGGGUAGUUUGGCGGAAAUGCGCUCCACCUGCGGCACUAGUGUGGGUUUCUCUGCCAUGCUGGCACUGGGCCUCUCAACUUCCCGUUCUAAUGACAUUUUAAACAAUUCAAAUUGAAUGUGUUUGUAAGUCAAGAUAAAAAUUUUACGCAAAAUAAUAUAAUAAAAAUUUAGGCGAAAUAAAGUAUAAAGGAAAUACGAUAGUGGAAAAAAAACAUACCCGAAAAUGAAAUUGAACAAUUUAGAUAAAAUAAAAGAUCAAACUGCUAAUCCUAGCACUUCCUUAAUCCUCAUAGUCUAAUAAUAUAAUGAUAUCAUACUAUGAUUGGAUCGAAAGAUUGUAAAGUGUGUGAAGAAAAAAAAAUAAACAGAGUAAAAGGAA